rnacentral:rRNA from 1 species
GACGAACGCUGGCGGCGUGCUUAACACAUGCAAGUCGAACGGAAAGGCCCUGCUUUUGUGGGGUGCUCGAGUGGCAAACGGGUGAGUAACACGUGUGUAACCUGCCCUUGACUUUGGGAUAACUUCAGGAAACUGGGGCUAAUACCGGAUAGGAGCUCCUGCUGCAUGGUGGGGGUUGGAAAGUUUCGGCGGUUGGGGAUGGACUCGCGGCUUAUCAGUUUGUUGGUGGGGUAGUGGCUUACCAAGGCUUUGACGGGUAGCCGGCCUGAGAGGGUGACCGGCCACAUUGGGACUGAGAUACGGCCCAGACUCCUGCGGGAGGCAGCAGUGGGGAAUAUUGCACAAUGGGCGGAAGCCUGAUGCAGCAACGCCGCGUGCGGGAUGACGGCCUUCGGGUUGUAAACCGCUUUCGCCUGUGACGAAGCGUGAGUGACGGUAAUGGGUAAAGAAGCACCGGCUAACUACGUG